GACGUAGGGGGCAAGCGUUGUCCGGAAUGACUGGGCGUAAAGGGCGUGUAGGCGGCCGCGCAGGUGGGGUCACGAAGGCUCCGGCUCAACCGGAGCAGGGGCGCCAAACCGCGCAGCUGGAGGGCAGGAGAGGUGCGUGGAAUUCCCGGUGGAGCGGUGAAAUGCGUAGAGAUCGGGAAGAACACCCGUGGCGAAGGCGGCGCACUGGCCUGGCCCUGACGCUGAGGCGCGAAAGCGUGGGGAGCGAACGGG
rnacentral:rRNA from 1 species